rnacentral:lncRNA from 1 species
GGUCUCUGAAAAUAUGAAUCCCAGAGAGAAUGUUUUGUGGCCUUGGUAUUGUUAAUAGCCCGCCUGGUCAUUUUCACAUGAGUGGAGAUGGGCUUUUAUUCUUUCAUUACUUAAGUCAUGCUGUUUCUUGAAUCUGAGACUGUGGUUGGCUCGUACCAGGUUUCUGGUUUUUACACCAUUACCAAAUCUGCCAAAGAUUGGCGUUAAUGAGUUUGACCCAUCAUGGCUUGCUCUUUUACACUGUUGGGAAGAGUGACUGCAAAGUUGCAUUUGGUGAUGGUGGGAUGCAUGAUGGUAUUAUUAAAGCUGAAGUUCUGCAGACCACAGAUUCAGGAGAGAGAAUGGCAUUAAGAUUAAUCUUAGACCUUAAUGUAAAAUUGUCUUAUAACCUGAAAGCUUUUCUUUUCUUCCUUUUUAUUUUAUUUUAUUUUUUUUUGGUGCACAGUCUAAAUUAGGGCGCUGUUAGUAGGGGGAGGGUAAUUGCAUUUUUGGUGGAUAGUGAAUCUCAAUUCUUAUUUAUAAGAAGUCUAUUUGAUUAAGUCCUUAUAGCUUCCUUGCUCAUUCUAUUUGCUUUGCAGUAUAUUAGGGACAGUAAAGUGAUUUUACUUCAAGGGAACCUAAGGUUUUUUAUUCAGAUUAUGUCUCAGUCAUUCACAUAAUUAUCAGCCAUGAUAACACUUUUUUAUCUUUGGAGUUGUGCACAAAUACCAAGCAGAUGCAAUCUGCUUGGCCUCACCUUGCUAAAUGAUUUUAGUGAGGAGAGGAAGUAAGAAGGAGAAGGGUGGUUUUGAUGAAGGAAUCAAAGAAGUGUUGUCGUUGAUCUUGUUUGUACAAUUCAUCAGCUUUAUUCUUUCCAGGAGAGAGAUUAGUUAUACACCUGAAACUAAUAAUAAUAAUAAUAUGUUGUGUCGUCAUCAUCAUCGUCAUCAUACUAUGUCAAUUAUUGCUUCAAUAAAAAUGAUUUUUAAAAGAUAGAUCAAUAGAAUGGGCAUCCAGGUUACCAGGAUAAAAGUACCUCUUUAUUUUUAUUUUUUGUCUUUUUAGGACCGUACCCGUGG